UACGAGGGGGGCGAGCGUUGUUCGGAAUUACUGGGCGUAAAGCGCACGUAGGCGGCUUUGCAAGUCAGAGGUGAAAGCCCGGGGCUCAACCCCGGAAUUGCCUUUGAGACUGCAUCGCUAGAAUUGUGGAGAGGUAAGUGGAAUUCCGAGUGUAGAGGUGAAAUUCGUAGAUAUUCGGAAGAACACCAGUGGCGAAGGCGACUUACUGGACACAUAUUGACGCUGAGGUGCGAAAGCGUGGGGAGCAAACAGG
rnacentral:rRNA from 1 species